UUUCUUUUUAACCGAGUUCCAAAAAAGGAGGAGGUUCUCAAUUCGACUGUAUUUUUUUUUUUUUUUUUUUUUUUUAUGUAUGUUACAUCAGAACUUUUUACCGGGUAGACCGAUUUCGACAAAUUUUGUUUUAAUCGAAAGGUGGUGUGUGCCAAUUGGUCCCAUUUAAAUUUAUUUGAGAUCUAACAACUACUUUUCGAGUUAUAUCUAAUAAUGCGUUUUUACUUGACGCUUUUUUCGUCGACCUACGUUGUAUUAUACCGCAUAACUUUUUACUGAAUGUACCGAUUUUGAUAAUUCUUUUUUUGUUGGAAAGGGGAUAUCCCUAGUUUAGUACCAUGAUAAGGAAACCAGGAUCUGAUGAUGGAAUCCUAGAGAAAUCGAGGGAAACUCUCGAAAAUUCGCAAUAACUUUUUACUGGGUGUACCGAUUUUGAUAAUUUUUAAUUUAAUCAAAAGGUGAUGUUUAUCAUGUGGUU
rnacentral:misc_RNA from 1 species